rnacentral:rRNA from 1 species
UCAACCGGGGAGGGUCAUUGGAAAAUGGGGAACUUGAGUGCAGAAGAGGAGAGUGGAAUUCACGUGUAGCGGUGAAAUGCGUAGAGAUGUGGAGGAACACCAGUGGCGAAGGCGACUCUUGGUCUGUAACUGACGCUGAGGAGCGAAAGCGUGGGGAGCGAACAGGAUUAGAUACCCUGGUAGUCCACGCCGUAAACGAUGAGUGCUAAGUGUUAGGGGGUUUCCGCCCGUUAGUGCUGCAGCUAACGCAUUAAGCACUCCGCCUGGGGAG